UCUUGAGAUUCUAUAGCUUUCUGCAAAAAUGGCAUCCAAUGCGAUAAACUCUUCGAUGAUGACGGUAAAUUUGCAGCUUGCCGAUAUUUUUCAAUACGUCGGAGGAGGAAGCAGGUUGAUAGUCGAAGGUUCCCUUCAGUUCCAUUGCUUACAGUAACAGAUUUGCAACAAAAGUGGGGUAAAAUUGCAGAAAAAGUUGCUGACGAUAUGUACAAGACAACACCAUUGACCGCAUUCUGCAAAAAAAAUUACGAAUACA